AGAGUUUGAUCCUGGCUCAGAUUGAACGCUGGCGGNNUUUACACAUGCAAGUCGAACGGAGCGNNNGACCUGGCGGCGAGGGGAACGGGUGAGUAAUAUAUCGGAACGUACCCAAGAGUGGGGGAUAACGUAGCGAAAGUUACGCUAAUACCGCAUACGAUCUAAGGAUGAAAGUGGGGGACCUUCGGGCCUCAUGCUCCUGGAGCGGCCGAUAUCUGAUUAGCUAGUUGGUGAGGUAAAGGCUCACCAAGGCGACGAUCAGUAGCUGGUCUGAGAGGACGACCAGCCACACUGGGACUGAGACACGGCCAGACUCCUACGGGAGGCAGCAGUGGGGAAUUUUGGACAAUGGGCGCAAGCCUGAUCCAGCAAUGCCGCGUGAGUGAAGAAGGCCUUCGGGUUGUAAAGCUCUUUUGUCAGGGAAGAAACGGCUGAGGCUAAUCCUUUGGCUAAUGACGGUACCUGAAGAAUAAGCCCGGCUACUACGUGCCAGCAGCCGCGGUAAUACGUAGGGUGCAAGCGUUAAUCGGAAUUACUGGGCGUAAGGNGCGCAGGCGGUUUUGUAAGUCUGACGUGAAAUCCCCGGGCUCAACCUGGGAAUUGCGUUGGAGCUGCAAGGCUGGAGUCUGGCAGAGGGGGGUAGAAUUCCACGUGUAGCAGUGAAAUGCGUAGAGAUGUGGAGGAACACCGAUGGCGAAGGCAGCCCCCUGGGUCAAGACUGACGCUCAUGCACGAAAGCGUGGGGAGCAAACAGGAUUAGAUACCCUAGUAGUCC
rnacentral:rRNA from 1 species